rnacentral:rRNA from 1 species
UACGUAGGGUGCGAGCGUUGUCCGGAAUUAUUGGGCGUAAAGGGCUCGUAGGCGGUUUGUCGCGUCGGGAGUGAAAACCCAGGGCUUAACCCUGGGCUGGCUUCCGAUACGGGCAGACUAGAGGUAUGCAGGGGAGACUGGAAUUCCUGGUGUAGCGGUGAAAUGCGCAGAUAUCAGGAGGAACACCGGUGGCGAAGGCGGGUCUCUGGGCCGAUACUGACGCUGAGGAGCGAAAGCGUGGGGAGCGAACAGG